CCUACGGGCGGCUGCAGUGAGGAAUAUUGGUCAAUGGGAGAGAUCCUGAACCAGCCAAGCCGCGUGAGGGAAGACGGCCCUAUGGGUUGUAAACCUCUUUUGUCGGAGAACAAAACCCGGGACGAGUCCCGGACUGCGUGUAUCCGAAGAAACAGCAUCGGCAAACUCCGUGCCAGCAGCCGCGGUAAUACGGAGGAGGCGAGUGUUAUCCGGAUUUAUUGGGGUUAAAGGGUGGGUAGGCGGUCUCUUAAGUCAGCGGUAAAAUUGCGGGGCGCAACUCCGUCGAGCCGUUGAAACUGGCAGACUUGAGUUGGCGAGAAGUACGCGGAAUGCGCGGUGUAGCGGUGAAAUGCAUAGAUAUCGCGCAGAACUCCGAUGGCGAAGGCAGCGUACCGGCGCCAGACUGACGCUGAGGCACGAAAGCGUGGGGAUCGAACAGGAUUAGAUACCCCAGUAGUC
rnacentral:rRNA from 1 species